rnacentral:lncRNA from 1 species
GAAAAAUUUUCACAAAUGGAAUCAAAAUUUCUAGGCGAAUACAGUGAGUUUCCCUUGGGACAUGCUUGUAUGAGUGUGCUUUUUACGAUAUUUCAACAUUUUUACAAACCGAUCUAAGUAUCAUGGUGUAUUCAGUAGGUUCCCAAUAAAAUUCGCUUGUAAUAAGAGUACUAUUCAAAAUACAGCAACGUUUUAAAGAACUGAAACACUGUUCUUUUGUGUAUUCAGUUAGUUCCCAUUAGCCGGCUCUUGUAAUAUGUGUACUUUUCAAGAUUUCUCAUAAUUUCGUGACCCGAAUCUCAGAAACUUGGUGAGUUCAGUUAGUUCCCAAUAGGCCGCAAUAGUAAUAAGUGGACUGCUCGGGAUGUAGAAAAGUUUUCACGAAUGGAAACAAAAUUUCUUUGCGAAUUCAGUGAGUUCCCAAUGGGACAUGCUGGUAUGAGUGUGCUUUUCAAGAUAGAGCAACAUUUUAACGAACAGUGUCUAAAUAUUAUGGUGAAUUCAGCAGGUUCCCAGUAGGAUUCGCAUUUAAUAAGACUACUAUUCAAGAUAGAGCCACGUUUUAACGAACUGAAACACUUUUUGUUUGUGAAUUCAGUUAGUUCCCCUUAGCAGGUUUUUGUAAUAUGUGUACUUUUCAAGAUUUCUCAUAAUUUCGUGAGCCGAAUCUCAGUAACGUGGAGAAUUCAGUUAGUUCCCAAUAGCCCGCAAUAGUAUUAAGUGGAGGGUUCGGGAAUUAGAAAAAUUUUCACAAAUGGAAUCAAAAUUUCUAGGCGAAUACAGUGAGUUUCCAUUGGGACAUGAUUGUAUGAGUGUGCUUUUUACGAUAUUUCAACAUUUUUACAAACCGAUCUAAGUAUCAUGGUUUAUUCAGUAGGUUCCCAGUAGUGUUCGCAUGUAAUAACAGUCCUAUUCAAGAUAGAGGACGUUUUAACGAACUGAAACACUGUUUCUUUGUGAAUUCAGUUAGUUCCCAUUAGCAGGCUCUUGUAAUAUAUGUACUUUUAAAAUAUUAUGAAAAUUUCGUGACCCGAAUCUCAGUAACUUUGUGAAUUGUUAGUUCCCAAUAGGCCGCAAUAGUAAUAAGUGGACUGCUCAGGAUAUAAAAAAAUUUUCAC